rnacentral:rRNA from 1 species
UACGGGGGGGGCAAGCGUUGUUCGGACUUACUGGGCGUAAAGGGUUCGUAGGUGGCCUGCUAAGUCAGACGUGAAAUCCCUCAGCUUAACUGGGGAACUGCGUCUGAGACUGGUGGGCUUGAGUGCAGGAGAGGAACGCGGAAUUCCAGGUGUAGCGGUGAAAUGCGUAGAUAUCUGGAGGAACACCGGUGGCGAAGGCGGCUCACUGGACCGGUAUUGGCGCUGAGGUGCGAAAGCGUGGGGAGCAAACAGG